GAUGAAGAACGCAGCGAAAUGCGAUACGUAAGGUGAAUUGCAGAAUUCAGUGAAUCAUCGAAUCUUUGAACGCAUAUUGCGCUCUCUGGUAUUCCGGAGAGCAUGCUUGUUUGAGUAUCAGUAAACACCUCAACUCCCUUUUCUUUUUUGAAAUUGGAGCUGGACUUGAGUGAUCCCAACGCUUUCUUCCAAGAAAGUGGCGGGUUGCUUGAAAUGCAGGUGCAGCUGAACUUUUCUCUGAGCUAUAAGCAUAUCUAUUUAGUCUGCCUAAAAAACAGAUUAUUACCUUUGCUGCAGCUAACAUAAAGGAGACUAGUUCUUGUGCUGACUGAUGCAGGAUUCACAGAGACAGCUUCGGCUGACUUUGUAAACUCGAUCUCAAAUCAAGUAAGACUACCCGCUGAACUUAAGCAUAUCAAUAAGCGGAGGA
rnacentral:misc_RNA from 1 species